UGUCCAGACUCCUACGGGAGGCAGCAGUGGGGGAUAUUGCACAAUGGGGGGAACCCUGAUGCAGCGACGCCGCGUGGGUGAAGGAGCGUUUCGGCGCGUAAAGCCCUAUCGGCAGGGAAGAAGAUGGCGGUACCUGCCCAAGAAGCCCCGGCUAACUACGUGCCAGCAGCCGCGGUAAUACGUAGGGGGCAAGCGUUAUCCGGAUUUACUGGGUGUAAAGGGAGCGUAGGCGGUUAGAUAAGUCUGAUGUGAAAGCCCACAGCUUAACUGUGGGAUUGCAUUGGAAACUAUAGGACUAGAGUGUCGGAGAGGUAAGUGGAAUUCCUAGUGUAGCGGUGAAAUGCGUAGAUAUUAGGAGGAACACCAGUGGCGAAGGCGGCUUACUGGACGAUGACUGACGCUGAGGCUCGAAAGCGUGGGGAGCAAACAGGAUUAGAUACCCCAGUA
rnacentral:rRNA from 1 species